rnacentral:rRNA from 1 species
UCUUUUAAUUGAAGGCUUGUAUGAAUGGUUGGACGAAACAUUAACUGUUUCAAUUUAAAAAUAAGAAUUUUACUUUUUAGUAAAAAGGCUAAAAUAUAUUUAAAAGACGAUAAGACCCUAUAGAUCUUUAUAAUUUUUAAGUUGAUUUUAUAAAGAAUAAUUAAAAUUUAAUUUAUUAUAUUAUUUUAUUGGGGUGAUAAUAAGAUUUAAAAAACUCUUAUAUAUAAUAACAAAAAUUAUUGAAUUAUUGAUCCUUUAUUAUAGAUUAUAAGUUUAAGUUACCUUAGGGAUAACAGCGUAAUUUUUUUAUAGAGUUCAUAUCGAUAAAAAAGAUUGC